GUGCCAGCAGCCGCGGUAAUACGGAGGGUGCAAGCGUUGUCCGAAAUUAUUGGGUGUAAAGGGUGUGCAGGCGGGGGUCUGCGUCGGAGGUGAAAUCUUGCCGCUUAACGGCAAAAGGGCCUUCGAUACGAGAUCUCUUGAGUUCGGAAGAGGCCGGUGGAAUUCGUGGUGUAGCGGUGAAAUGCAUAGAUAUCACGAAGAACACCAGUGGCGAAAGCGGCCGGCUAGUCCGAUACUGACGCUGAUACACGAAAGCGUGGGCAGCGAACAGGAUUAGAUACCCCAGUAGUCC
rnacentral:rRNA from 1 species